CGUGGGUAACCUGCCCAAGAGAUCGGGAUAACACCUGGAAACAGAUGCUAAUACCGGAUAACAACAGAUGAUGCCUAUCAACUGUUUAAAAGAUGGUUCUGCUAUCACUCUUGGAUGGACCUGCGGUGCAUUAGCUAGUUGGUAGGGUAACGGCCUACCAAGGCGAUGAUGCAUAGCCGAGUUGAGAGACUGAUCGGCCACAUUGGGACUGAGACACGGCCCAAACUCCUACGGGAGGCAGCAACC
rnacentral:rRNA from 1 species